UGGGGAAUAUUGCGCAAUGGGCGAAAGCCUGACGCAGCAACGCCGUGUGAGGGAUGAAGGCUUUCGGGUCGUAAACCUCUGUCGGAAGGGAAGAACGGGCAUUGGUCUAAUAGGCCUUUGUUUUGACGGUACCUUUAGAGGAAGCACCGGCUAACUCCGUGCCAGCAGCCGCGGUAAUACGGAGGGUGCAAGCGUUAUUCGGAAUUACUGGGCGUAAAGCGCACGUAGGCCGCUUUGUAAGUCAGGGGUGAAAUCCCACGGCUCAACCGUGGAACUGCCCUUGAAACUGCAGAGCUUGAAUCCUGGAGAGGGUGGCGGAAUUCCUGGUGUAGGAGUGAAAUCCGUAGAUAUCAGGAGGAACACCGGUGGCGAAGGCGGCCACCUGGACAGGCAUUGACGCUGAGGUGCGAAAGUGUGGGGAGCAAACAG
rnacentral:rRNA from 1 species